rnacentral:misc_RNA from 1 species
GAUGAAGAACGUAGCGAAAUGCGAUAAGUAAUGUGAAUUGCAGAAUUCAGUGAAUCAUCGAAUCUUUGGACGCACAUUGCGCCCGCCAGUAUUCUGGCGGGCAUGCCUGUUCGAGCGUCAUUACAACCCUCAGGCCCCCGGGCCUGGCGUUGGGGAUCGGCGGAGCCCCCCGUGGGCACACGCCGUCCCCCAAAUACAGUGGCGGUCCCGCCGCAGCUUCCAUCGCGUAGUAGCUAACACCUCGCGACUGGAGAGCGGCGCGGCCACGCCGUAAAACACCCAACUCUUCUGAAGUUGACCUCGAAUCAGGUAGGAAUACCCGCUGAACUUAAGCAUAUCAAUAAGCGGAGGA